CAAUAGCGUAUAUUUAAGUUGUUGCAGUUAAAAAGCUCGUAGUUGGAUUUCUGCUGAGGAUGACCGGUCCGCCCUCUGGGCAGGUAUCUGGCUCAGCCUUGGCAUCUUCCUGAAGAACGCAGCUGCACUUGACUGUGUGGUGCGGUAUUUAGGACAUUUACUUUGAGGAAAUUAGAGUGUUUCAAGCAAGCGCACGCCUUGAAUACAUUAGCAUGGAAUAAUAAGAUAGGACCUCGGUUCUAUUUUGUUGGUUUCUAGAACUGAGGUAAUGAUUGAUAGGGAUAGUUGGGGGCAUUCGUAUUUAACUGUCAGAGGUGAAAUUCUUAGAUUUGUUAAAGACGGACUACUGCGAAAGCAUUUGCCAAGGAUGUUUUCAUUGA
rnacentral:rRNA from 1 species